UUCUUCAAGGAGGCACCAGGUGAAUUCAAGAGACAAAGCAACUCUGAAAUUAGCAACUGUCAGCUCUCAGCGAUGCCGCCACCGAUUUGUCCCCAUGGGACACGCGCCACCACCAGGAGAUGACGUCACUACUCUCUCAAGACUAACACGCCAAUCAUGACAAGGCGCCUUUCACAAAGGUAGGUCCUCCUAUCAAAACGUCAA